GGUGUAGGCGUGUUGCUUAGGCAAAUCCGAGCGACUAAGCUGAGACGUGAUAACGCAACGUUCUUAGGAACGCCAAGUGAGUGAUACCAUGCUUCCAGGAAAAGCCACUAAGCUUCAGUUGAAUGAAGACCGUACCGUAAACCGACACAGGUGGGUAGGAUGAGAAUUCUAAGGCGCUUGAGAGAACUCAGGAGAAGGAACUCGGCAAAAUAGCACCGUAACUUCGGGAAAAGGUGUGCCCUUUGUAUGUGUAGCGCCUCGCGCGUGAAGCAGAAUAGGGUUGCAAUGAAAUGGUGGCUGCGACUGUUUAAUAAAAACAUAGCACUCUGCAAACACGAAAGUGGACGUAUAGAGUGUGACGCCUGCCCGGUGCCGGAAGGUUAAAUGAUGGGGUGCAAGCUCUUGAUUGAAGCCCCGGUAAACGGCGGCCGUAACAAUAACGGUCCUAAGGUAGCGAAAUUCCUUGUCGGGUAAGUUCCGACCUGCACGAAUGGCGUAACGAUGGCCACACUGUCUCCUCCUGGGACUCAGCGAAGUUGAAAUGUUUGUGAAGAUGCAAUCUCCCCGCGGCUAGACGGAAAGACCCCGUGCACCUUUACUGUAGCUUUACAUUGGACUUUGAUAACAUUUGUGUAGGAUAGGUGGGAGGCUUUGAAGUGGAUUCGCCAGAAUUCAUGGAGCCAACGUUGAAAUACCACCCUGAUGUUGUUGAGGUUCUAACCUAGAUCCAUUAUCUGGAUUGGGGACCGUGUAUGGUAGGCAGUUUGACUGGGGCGGUCUCCUCCCAAAUUGUAACGGAGGAGUACGAAGGUACGCUAGGUACGGUCGGAAAUCGUGCUGAUAGUGCAAUGGCAAAAGCGUGCUUGACUGCGAGACUGACAAGUCGAGCAGAUGCGAAAGCAGGUCAUAGUGAUCCGGUGGUUCUGUAUGGAAGGGCCAUCGCUCAACGGAUAAAAGGUACGCCGGGGAUAACAGGCUGAUUCCUCCCAAGAGUUCAUAUCGACGGGGGAGUUUGGCACCUCGAUGUCGGCUCAUCACAUCCUGGGGCUGUAGCCGGUCCCAAGGGUAUGGCUGUUCGCCAUUUAAAGUGGUACGUGAGCUGGGUUUAAAACGUCGUGAGACAGUUUGGUCCCUAUCUGCCGUGGGCGUUGGAAGUUUGAGUGGACCUGCUCCUAGUACGAGAGGACCGGAGUGGACGCACCUCUGGUGUACCGGUUAUGACGCCAGUCGUAUCGCCGGGUAGCUAUGUGCGGAAGAGAUAACCGCUGAAAGCAUCUAAGCGGGAAACUCUCCUCAAGAUGAGACUUCCCGAGGGUUUAACCCUCCUAAAGGUUCGUC
rnacentral:rRNA from 1 species